AAAUGACUGAAAUUUUCAGUCAUUUUUCAAAAUGACUCCUUCACUCACUCAUUUGGCAAAAUGACUAAAAGUUUCAUGCAUUUUAUGAAAUGACUGACGUGCUGGAUAUUCUGCUACACUAUUUGACUGUUUGUUUCAUUCAGUAACAGGCAUAUUGUGAAAAAGGAGUUGCUGGAGAAAGAUCCUUUGCUUUUUUGCAGUCACUGCUGAAGAAGGCUCUGAAUUUUGAAAGCAGCUUCAGAAAAGAACUUUACAAAAAGUAUAGGAAGUUCCCAACUACCUGACACUUAAUGCUGUGAAACUACUGCUGAGUUCUAAAAUGCAAGCCAACAUCCCAAAUCAAAGCCAAGAUAUGAGUACUACCUGCCUGCCAGGUAUGAAAUUCUAUACUGCGGUGACAGUGUUUCUAAUCAAGAAUUGUUGGACUAAAGAAGCAUCUCUCAUAUUCUCUCCCCCAUUGAGACACUGAAUGGCUGCUCUCAGAUCUCCCCAGAGCCUUCUCCAAGUUGAACAGCCCCAGCUCUCUCAGUCUGUUCUCAUAGGAGAUGUGUUUCAUCCGUUGGAACAUUUGUGUCCCUCCUCUGUUUGUGCACCAGCAGGUCCAUGUCUCUCCUGUACUGAGGACUCCACAGUUGGAUGCAGUACUCCAGGUCCAUGUCUCUCCUGUACUGAGGACUCCAUCGUUGGAUGCAGUACUCCAGAAAGCAAAGUACAAGUAACAGAUGUGAAGAAAACAAGUGAGAGACUAUGGCUUGAGUGGCUGUGGCUUGGCCUUAGAUGUACAGCAAAUGUCCUCAUGGAUGCAUGAGUGACAUGCAAGGAGGAAGGAACCACCCACGCAGGCACAAAGAUGGAUGCGUUGACUGCUUCGGAGUGGGUUAAUAGUUCCUCUGCAACCCCAGCUUAGAUGCAGGACCUAUGUCCAUGGAUCACAUCCA
ensembl:lncRNA